GUGGCCCAGUGGUAGAGCGCUUGCCUUGCAUGCAAGAGGCCCUGGGUUCGAUUCCUCAGC
rnacentral:tRNA from 1 species